AGUCAACAUGCCCAGGGGACGUGGAUAACCUCGGGAAACUGAGGAUAAACCGCGAUAGGUCAUCACUUCUGGAAUGGGUAAUGACUUAAAUCUACAUGGCCCCUGGAUUGGACUGCGGCCGAUCAGGCUGUUGGUGAGGUAAUGGCCCACCAAACCUGUAACCGGUACGGGCUCUGAGAGGAGGAGCCCGGAGAUGUGCACUGAGACAAGGGCCCAGGCCCUAUGGGGCGCAGCAGGCGCGAAACCUCUGCAAUAGGCGAAAGCUUGACAGGGUUACUCUGAGUGAUUUCCGUUAAGGAGAUCUUUUGGCACCUCUAAAAAUGGCGCAGAAUAAGGGGUGGGCAAGUCUGGUGUCAGCCGCCGCGGUAAUACCAGCACCCCGAGUGGUCGGGACGUUUAUUGGGCCUAAAGCAUCCGUAGCCGGUUCUACAAGUCUUCCGUUAAAUCCACCUGCUUAACAGAUGGGCUGCGGAAGAUACUAUAGAGCUAGGAGGCGGGAGAGGCAAGCGGUACUCGAUGGGUAGGGGUAAAAUCCGUUGAUCCAUUGAAGACCACCAGUGGCGAAGGCGGCUUGCCAGAACGCGCUCGACGGUGAGGGAUGAAAGCUGGGGGAGCAAACCGGAUUAGAUACCCGGGUAGUCCCAGCUGUAAACGAUGCAGACUCGGUGAUGAGUUGGCUUAUUGCUAACUCAGUGCCGCAGGGAAGCCGUUAAGUUUGCCGCCUGGGGAGUACGGUCGCAAGACUGAAACUUAA
rnacentral:rRNA from 1 species